AGCAAUAAAAUUUAGGAUUUUACAUAAGUUCAUACCAAGUUGAAUUUUAAGACUGAUUCCAAUAACAAGACGACCUGUUCGCUGUAAGUUUGGCAAAGCAAAUUAUUGCAACUUUUAUUAUACAUCUACAAUUCUGCCCUGCAUCACAAUAAAUCAGCAACAAACGCUAACCUAGAACAAAAUGUACAGGUCUACAGGCUAAAGACCAAAACUGCCACCAUCUUCAUCAUUUUCAGGGAGGCUAAACCUAAAUCACAUGAAUUUUGAAUUGAGCUUUCCAGGUCCAGUCAAGUCACUUUGCCAGUCAAAGUUAGUAUAAACACGCAUCAUCAAACUGAAAUUUUCUCAGGCAUGAAAAGGUAACGGAAACGAGAAUCAAAUGGAAGAAUGCCACAAUUGUGAGAACCAAGCAGGUUUUGCCGCCUCUGUGAAAUGCAAUGCUCAACCAAGGCAGCUUGACUGGAUGGAAGGUAAUGUGAUAUCCAAACAGCCAAAUUCGAGUCAUCAACAAAACCUUUGGCAAAACAGUGUAGCAUUUUUGGCACCAAUAACUUCCCUUUAUUGCUAACUCCAACUGAAGCUCUUAUGAAGUCAUGCUGGGCUUCUUGAAGCUCCUCCAUUACAUUCUUAGCAGUGUAAACUCUUACCGCAGGGGACGAAUACAUUCCACAGCUAAGAGCAAAUGCUACAAGCGGUUCAUGUGUAUCUAUUGCAGACUUUCGUUGUUCCCCUGAUACCUUCAGCCUGUGAAGGGCAAGAAGCAAAGCGAUUUGUGGCCUAUGGAGAGGUGGUUUCAUCUUCAAUAUUACAUACUCAAUGGCAGCUGCACUAAAAGAAUGCCCCCCAACGGUGUAUGCAGCCUUUUGCAUCAAUGAGAAGAGCUUCAAGUCACUUCUUGGAAUUCCAUAUGCCAAGUAUGCAUGCAUUAUCAGUGCAUUGUACAAAUUGAUCCAAAAUGCAAGCUUCUCAUUGCAUGCCAAGUGGAUAGGGUUCACUUUGGCCAGUUGCUCAAUAAGAGUCCUGAACCUCCUUAAUGCACCCGAGGCAUACUCUAAUUGCUUCUUCCCAACUGACAUCCAAGAAACUUCGGUUGCCAAACCAUAGUUUCCAAUGUCUGCCCAACUCAACUUUCCAUGCAAUCUAUAAGGAUCAAAGACAUUCUCUGAAGCCAAAACUUCAGAAUUACUCUGUAUAUCAACUUGGGGGCUCUGCACCCACGAUGAAAUCACUGAGCGCUCAGAAGAUGACCACCACGAUGAAUUGGAAAAAUGUCCUCGUGGUGACACAGAUGAGGAUUGGCUUUCCAUUGCAGAUGACUUGGAUGGCAAAGUAGAAUCUGCCAGAGACAUGAAUAUAUUUUGCAUACAUCUUACCAUUUCCUCUGAAAGUUGAUUAGGGUAAUCCCAAAGGCCCUUAGGUGGCAUUCCUUUUGAAAGGUUCUUGAGCUUUACAGAUUGAGUAGGUUCAGUAUCCAUCUUAACAGAUAUAUUCUCCUGAAGUGGUGCAGUUGACUUCACUGCAUGCUCCAUCACUGACUCUGUACAAGGUUUUUCACUGGUAGAUUCUAAAAGGUGUUCUUCACAUGAGAUAUUGUCAGAGUGAUGCAGUGCACAAUUGAAAUGCUUUGGAUGCCUCAAAGAAGAUGAAAUCACUGCUUUCAUAUUUGCAGAGGAGCAAACAGAUAUGGACUGAGACGUUGAAUGCCUCAAACGAUAUUCAGCAAGCCUCCGCUCAUUUCUCUCUUGACUAAGUUGGAAAUGCAAAGAGACAAUUUCUUGCUCAAGUUUUAGAACUGUGACUUCCAGUACAGCAAUAGUGGAUAGAACGUCUUGAGCA
rnacentral:misc_RNA from 1 species